UCCUUGUCUCUUCCUUUGUUUUUCUAUAUCCAGGGUUGUCUCCCUUUGUGAUUUCUUUAUUGUUUCUAUUUCCAUUUUCAAUUCCAUCACCUGUUUGAUUGUGUUUUCCUAUAAUUCUUUCAGGGAUUUUUGUGUUUCCUCUCUAAGGGUUUCUACUUUUUUACUUAUGUUUUCCUGCAUUUCUCUAAGGGAGUUCUUUAUGUCUUUCUCAAAGUCCUCCAUCAUCAUGAUCAAAUGUGAUUUUUAAAUCUAGAUCUUGCUUUUCUGGUUUGUUUGGAUAUUCAGCGUUUGCUUUGGUGAGAGAAUUGGGCUUUUAUGAUGCCAUGUAGUCUUGGUUCCUGUUACUUUGGUUCCUGCACUUUCCUCUUGCCAUCUGGUUGUCUCUGGUGUUACCUUGUUUUGCUAUUUCUGAUGGUGGCUUGACCGUCCUAUAGGCCUGUGUGUCAGGAGUGCUGUAGACCCAUUUUCCUCUUUUCUUUCAGCCAGUUAUGGGAACAGAGUGUUCUGCUUUCAGGCAUGUAGUUGUUCCUGUCCACUGGCUUUCAGCUGUCCCUGUGGGCAGGAACCAGAAGGGCCUGCCCCUAUUUCUCCUGGGUCCCUGUGCGCAGGAGGCCCAGAUGGUGCUAGGCAUUUUCCUCUAGAGUCGGAAAUGUGGGCAGAGAGUAGUCUCCUCUGCUUUUCCAGGCAUGUCUGCCCGUCUGAAAGUCUAGCUCUUCCUCCCACAGGAUUUGGGUGGAGGGAGCUGUUUGACUGGAUCCGUUCAGAUCCAGGCACAGUCUGGACCCCAGGGCUCCUGCAGCUUGACUGACUCUAUCUUCCUGUGUCCACAGGGCCUAUUCAGUUUCCACUUGGACCUGGGAUGUGGGCAAAGGGACACAAAAAUGAAUGACUGUAAAUUUGUGCCCACUCCAUGCUACCACUCACAGUCUAGUACCACCAGAUAUAUCUGCCAGAGAUUUAAAUUCUAGUAAUGGCUGACUGGAGAACGGACUACAUGAAUUCAUCGUCAAUGUACAGCCUCUGGCAAGUGCAAGUUCUGCCACUUCUUAAUAGUGCAACUCUCAGGUUACUCAGAAUCAUAAAGAUGUGUUCCCAGCCUAUGAGGUAAAGUUUUGAAUACACAUGCUUACUGGGGGAAGGAGGCAUUUGGGAGGAUGUGGAGACCAACAGCUACAGAGGUCAAAGGUGAGCUGUGGUGACUUUCCAACAAGUGAGUCAACUGAUCUCAAGUUGGUCAUUCUUUAAUAACAUUUAGAAUCUUAACGAGGUGAUGGAAUUUGUACUGACAAUUCUGUAGAUGUGGGCGACUAGAGGAAGGGGAUCUGGGCAAGGCAUUUUCCUCUGACAAGGAAUGUUCCAAGGGCCAACUGUGAACCAUUACCAGCUUAGAGAUAUAAGAAGAGGUAGCCUGGGUACUAUGGGGAGGCACCAUAUAUCUACUGUAUAUAGUAUUCCUUGGUUCUUGCUUCAUGGUCCAUGAACUAGAUUUUUAAAAAUCAGAAUGGUUCUUUCCAGAUGUACUACAACAGAGAAAUGGAUACAGAAAAUGUGGUAUGUCUACACAAUGGAGCACUACUCAGCUAUUAAAAACAAUGACUUCAUGAAAUUCAUAGGCGAAUGGGUGGAACUAGAAAAUAUCAUCCUGAAUGAGAGACUGUUUUUUACGAACUCCUGAGUCAUGUUCUUUUGCUUGCCGAUAAUGAAUUACUCAGUUCUCACAGGCAGAAGUUUAAAUUCCAUUUCAAGAUGUGAAUUGUAAAAAACAAAUUUGAUUCCAAUCCAGCUCUAAUCAAUUCUCAUGUCUUGAGAAAAGGCUUUGCUGUUCGCAGAGGAGAACCCAGGCAAGAAGACUCCAACUCGGUGUGGAAAAGGCCUGGGAUGAAAAGCUUUGGACUGAGGGUGGCUAAAGGAUGACAGAGUUCAAGGCAAAGUGGGUCACACAUGAAAGAAAGGGAGGUACCACCUUGACUUCAGGCUCUCAUCAAUGACAUCUGUGUUGACAGCCCUCCUUUUUCCUUUCUCGUUAGAGUAUGGAACUUUACUGCCAUAGAUGAACUCAGCUUCUGUUAAACUUGGCAACAGUAUAGGCUGAGGUAGACAGGAGCUUUGGCUUCUGAGUGCUAACCUCGAAGGUUUCUUUGGUGCCGCUCUUAUAUUUUAAAACAUCAGGACUUCUUUUGCCGACACUGGAAAUAUCUCCACUAAUUGACAAAUUGGAUUACAAGAUGUUUAAAAGCUUCUGCACAGCAAAAGGGGAAAUGUCAUUAGAGCGAGAAGUCAAAAAGUAGGAAUAAAAUUUCUGGCAGCUGUACUUCAGAUAAGCAGUUUCAGGUAAGUGAUGUAUGCAGACCUCAGAAGAUGCAGCCAUGAUGCCAUCUGACAGGUUUGUACAGCAUGACUUGGGGGUCCUAAGUCGAGGACAGACAAAGAGGGCAAGAAGGUAAGUGGGAUGCCAUUGGCAUAUGAUGCAAUAGUUUCAGCUAUAGGCAGCAGAUGCUUAGACCAUGCAUGACUAAGACUAGCAGCAGUAACAGAGUAGACCAGGAUUACACACUGUGAGAUGAUAGUUUCAUAUUGGAGAUGCAACUGAGUGCAUUUGAUGAUACACACUUGUGGACUCAAGGGAAAAUGGGGUUCUUGAGUUUUUUCAACAAAGGGGUGGAAUUCUCAUUAACUGAAAUUUAGAAAAUAGUUUUGUGAGUAUGUGUAUGGCUGAAGGGAGGACGUGUUAUCACUCAGGUGAAGCUUUAGAAACCCAUUGUAUAUCCAAGCAGGAGAGAUCACACAGGCAAAUGGAUGUACCAGGAGAAAUGUAGGCUGAAGGAUGAAUUGAAAGUCACCUGGAGUUCAAUGUUAUUUAAUUCCAUAGCUUCAGGGAAGCCCAUCAAGGGAGGGAGGGUCAAGAGAGGAGCAAAGAGUUUCAAGGCUUGAGCAUCAGGAGACUCCAGAUUUUCAGAACCCUGAGAAGGAGCCAUUGUGAAGCAAAAGGGAAGAGUGUAGAGUCUUGGAAACCCAUGCUACUUUCAGAUACAGUGGUAAUAGUGGAGUCAUGAGAUGCUUGUGAUGAAGCUGAUUAUGAUGAAGGCUGGACCUUCAAGAUGUAUCGAGAGCAUCCUAACAGCUUGGUGGGAAGGCAGUAACAGAAUUCUGGCCAGUUGUAGGAGGAAGGAGAAAAGUAAUGGAGAACCUAACCAGUCCUUUCAAGGAGCAUUACUGUGGGGAAAUGAAGUGGUGAAUUGUUAGAGAAAAUAAAUGAAGACUAAUCUACCUAUUUUACCUUUCCUCCAUUCCCCUCACAUAUUCUUUCCUUAUCAUAUGAUGUAAAAGAUGAAUUUUGAAGAGGAGGAGAAGCUAUCAAUCUACGAUAUAAAGAAGAAAAUCUGGAUCAAGUGGAUAUAAAGCUCAAGAAACAGUUCCCUUUAAAAAAUGAGAUGUUUUUAAAAUACAUUUCCCCAUUCCUUUCCUCCCUCCAAACUCUCCCACAUAGCCUUUCCUGUAUCCUUUAAAUU